UACGUAGGGGGCAAGCGUUGUCCGGAAUCAUUGGGCGUAAAGCGCGUGUAGGCGGCUCGGUAAGUCCGCUCUGAAAGUCCAGGGCUCAACCCUGGGAUGCGGGUGGAUACUGUCGGACUCGAGUCCGGAAGAGGCGAGUGGAAUUCCUGGUGUAGCGGUGAAAUGCGCAGAUAUCAGGAGGAACACCAAUGGCGAAGGCAGCUCGCUGGGACGUGACUGACGCUGAGACGCGAAAGCGUGGGGAGCAAACAGG
rnacentral:rRNA from 1 species